rnacentral:tRNA from 1 species
GAAGGUAUAGCUCAUUGGUAGAUCGCAUGCUUAGCAUGCAUGAGGCCCUGGGUUUAAUCCCCAGUACCUCUA